rnacentral:rRNA from 1 species
UACGAAGGGGGCUAGCGUUGCUCGGAAUCACUGGGCGUAAAGCGCACGUAGGCGGCUUCUUAAGUCAGGGGUGAAAUCCUGGAGCUCAACUCCAGAACUGCCUUUGAUACUGAGAGGCUCGAGUCUGGGAGAGGUGAGUGGAACUCCGAGUGUAGAGGUGAAAUUCGUAGAUAUUCGGAAGAACACCAGUGGCGAAGGCGGCUCACUGGCCCGGUACUGACGCUGAGGUGCGAAAGCGUGGGGAGCAAACAGG